rnacentral:rRNA from 1 species
UACGUAGGUGGCAAGCGUUAUCCGGAUUUACUGGGUGUAAAGGGCGAGUAGGCGGGAUUGCAAGCCAGAUGUGAAAGCCCGGGGCUCAACCCCGGGACUGCAUUUGGAACUGUGCUGCUAGAGUGUCGGAGAGGCAGGCGGAAUUCCUAGUGUAGCGGUGAAAUGCGUAGAUAUUAGGAGGAACACCAGUGGCGAAGGCGGCCUGCUGGACGAUGACUGACGCUGAGGCUCGAAAGCGUGGGGAGCAAACAGG